GCAGACGGCGGAGAGCAGAGAGGGAGCGCGCCUUGGCUCGCUGGCCUUGGCGGCGGCUCCUCAGGAGAGCUGGGGCGCCCACGAGAGGAUCCCUCACCCGGGUCUCUCCUCAGGGAUGACAUCAUCCGUCCACCUCCUUGUCUUCAAGGACCACCUCCUCUCCAUGCUGAGCUGCUGCCAAGGGGCCUGCUGCCCAUCUACACCUCACGAGGGCACUAGGAGCACGGUUUCCUGGAUCCCACCAACAUACAAAGCAGCCACUCACUGACCCCCAGGACCAGGAUGGCAAAGGAUGAAGAGGACCGGAACUGACCAGCCAGCUGUCCCUCUUACCUAAAGACUUAAACCAAUGCCCUAGUGAGGGGGCAUUGGGCAUUAAGCCCUGACCUUUGCUAUGCUCAUACUUUGACUCUAUGAGUACUUUCCUAUAAGUCUUUGCUUGUGUUCACCUGCUAGCAAACUGGAGUGUUUCCCUCCCCAAGGGGGUGUCAGUCUUUGUCGACUGACUCUGUCAUCACCCUUAUGAUGUCCUGAAUGGAAGGAUCCCUUUGGGAAAUUCUCAGGAGGGGGACCUGGGCCAAGGGCUUGGCCAGCAUCCUGCUGGCAACUCCAAGGCCCUGGGUGGGCUUCUGGAAUGAGCAUGCUACUGAAUCACCAAAGGCACGCCCGACCUCUCUGAAGAUCUUCCUAUCCUUUUCUGGGGGAAUGGGGUCGAUGAGAGCAACCUCCUAGGGUUGUUGUGAGAAUUAAAUGAGAUAAAAGAGGCCUCAGGCAGGAUCUGGCAUAGAGGAGGUGAUCAGCAAAUGUUUGUUGAAAAGGUUUGACAGGUCAGUCCCUUCCCACCCCUCUUGCUUGUCUUACUUGUCUUAUUUAUUCUCCAACAGCACUCCAGGCAGCCCUUGUCCACGGGCUCUCCUUGCAUCAGCCAAGCUUCUUGAAAGGCCUGUCUACACUUGCUGUCUUCCUUCCUCACCUCCAAUUUCCUCUUCAACCCACUGCUUCCUGACUCGCUCUACUCCGUGGAAGCACGCUCACAAAGGUUCCCAGUGCCCCCGACAAGCCCCUGCUGGUGUCUCCAUCUCCUGCCAAGCAUCCUCCAGUGCCUCCUCCUGUGGGCCUGGCCUCAGGGCUAUGGACAGACUCCUGUCCCAUCCCAGAGACCCCUCGUGAUCGUGCCCUGGCACGUGGGCCGUGGCCCGGCUGGGUCGGCUGAAGAACUGCGGAUGGAAGCUGCGGAAGAGGCCCUGAUGGGGCCCACCAUCCCGGACCCAAGUCUUCUUCCUGGCGGGCCUCUCGUCUCCUUCCUGGUUUGGGCGGAAGCCAUCACCUGGAUGCCUACGUGGGAAGGGACCUCGAAUGUGGGACCCCAGCCCCUCUCCAGCUCGAAAUCCCUCCACAGCCACGGGGACACCCUGCACCUAUUCCCACGGGACAGGCUGGACCCAGAGACUCUGGACCCGGGGCCUCCCCUUGAGUAGAGACCCGCCCUCUGACUGAUGGACGCCGCUGACCUGGGGUCAGACCCGUGGGCUGGACCCCUGCCCACCCCGCAGGAACCCUGAGGCCUAGGGGAGCUGUUGAGCCUUCAGUGUCUGCAUGUGGGAAGUGGGCUCCUUCACCUACCUCACAGGGCUGUUGUGAGGGGCGCUGUGAUGCGGUUCCAAAGCACAGGGCUUGGCGCACCCCACUGUGCUCUCAAUAAAUGUGUUUCCUGUCUUAACAAAAA
rnacentral:lncRNA from 1 species